UAAUAGCCGUGGAGGAAAUUUGGG
rnacentral:piRNA from 1 species